UACGUAGGGCGCAAGCGUUAUCCGGAAUUAUUGGGCGUAAAGAGCUCGUAGGCGGUUUGUCGCGUCUGCUGUGAAAGACCGGGGCUCAACUCCGGUUCUGCAGUGGGUACGGGCAGACUAGAGUGCAGUAGGGGAGAGUGGAAUUCCUGGUGUAGCGGUGAAAUGCGCAGAUAUCAGGAGGAACACCGAUGGCGAAGGCAGGUCUCUGGGCUGUAACUGACGCUGAGGAGCGAAAGCAUGGGGAGCGAACAGG
rnacentral:rRNA from 1 species